UACGGAGGGAGCUAGCGUUGUUCGGAAUUACUGGGCGUAAAGCGCGCGUAGGCGGCUUUGUAAGUUAGAGGUGAAAGCCCGGGGCUCAACCCCGGAACUGCCUUUAAAACUGCAUCGCUUGAAUCCGGGAGAGGUGAGUGGAAUUCCGAGUGUAGAGGUGAAAUUCGUAGAUAUUCGGAAGAACACCAGUGGCGAAGGCGGCUCACUGGACCGGCAUUGACGCUGAGGUGCGAAAG
rnacentral:rRNA from 1 species